rnacentral:rRNA from 1 species
GAUGAACGCUAGCUACAGGCUUAACACAUGCAAGUCGAGGGGCAGCAUGGUCUUAGCUUGCUAAGGCCGAUGGCGACCGGCGCACGGGUGAGUAACACGUAUCCAACCUGCCGUCUACUCUUGGACAGCCUUCUGAAAGGAAGAUUAAUACAAGAUGGCAUCAUGAGUCCGCAUGUUCACAUGAUUAAAGGUAUUCCGGUAGACGAUGGGGAUGCGUUCCAUUAGAUAGUAGGCGGGGUAACGGCCCACCUAGUCUUCGAUGGAUAGGGGUUCUGAGAGGAAGGUCCCCCACAUUGGAACUGAGACACGGUCCAAACUCCUACGGGAGGCAGCAGUGAGGAAUAUUGGUCAAUGGGCGAGAGCCUGAACCAGCCAAGUAGCGUGAAGGAUGACUGCCCUAUGGGUUGUAAACUUCUUUUAUAAAGGAAUAAAGUCGGGUAUGGAUACCCGUUUGCAUGUACUUUAUGAAUAAGGAUCGGCUAACUCCGUGCCAGCAGCCGCGGUAAUACGGAGGAUCCGAGCGUUAUCCGGAUUUAUUGGGUUUAAAGGGAGCGUAGAUGGAUGUUUAAGUCAGUUGUGAAAGUUUGCGGCUCAACCGUAAAAUUGCAGUUGAUACUGGAUAUCUUGAGUGCAGUUGAGGCAGGCGGAAUUCGUGGUGUAGCGGUGAAAUGCUUAGAUAUCACGAAGAACUCCGAUUGCGAAGGCAGCCUGCUAAGCUGCAACUGACAUUGAGGCUCGAAAGUGUGGGUAUCAAACAGGAUUAGAUACCCUGGUAGUCCACACGGUAAACGAUGAAUACUCGCUGUUUGCGAUAUACUGCAAGCGGCCAAGCGAAAGCGUUAAGUAUUCCACCUGGGGAGUACGCCGGCAACAGUGAAACUCAAAGGAAUUGACGGGGGCCCGCACAAGCGGAGGAACAUGUGGUUUAAUUCGAUGAUACGCGAGGAACCUUACCCGGGCUUAAAUUGCAGAUGAAUUACGGUGAAAGCCGUAAGCCGCAAGGCAUCUGUGAAGGUGCUGCAUGGUUGUCGUCAGCUCGUGCCGUGAGGUGUCGGCUUAAGUGCCAUAGCGAGCGCAACCCUUGUUGUCAGUUACUAACAGGUUCCGCUGAGGACUCUGACAAGACUGCCAUCGUAAGAUGUGAGGAAGGUGGGGAUGACGUCAAAUCAGCACGGCCCUUACGUCCGGGGCUACACACGUGUUACAAUGGGGGGUACAGAGGGCCGCUACCACGCGAGUGGAUGCCAAUCCCCAAAACCUCUCUCAGUUCGGACUGGAGUCUGCAACCCGACUCCACGAAGCUGGAUUCGCUAGUAAUCGCGCAUCAGCCACGGCGCGGUGAAUACGUUCCCGGGCCUUGUACACACCGCCCGUCAAGCCAUGGGAGCCGGGGGUACCUGAAGUGCGUAACCGCGAGGAGCGCCCUAGGGUAAAACUGGUGACUGGGGC